UACAGAGGUCCCAAGCGUUGUUCGGAUUCACUGGGCGUAAAGGGUGCGUAGGUGGCCAGGUAAGUUUGGUGUGAAAGCUCGGAGCUCAACUCCGAAAUGGCAUUGAAUACUAUCUGGCUGGAGGGUCGGAGGGGAGACUGGAAUUCUCGGUGUAGCAGUGAAAUGCGUAGAUAUCGAGAGGAACACCAGUGGCGAAGGCGAGUCUCUGGACGACACCUGACACUGAGGCACGAAAGCUAGGGGAGCAAACAGG
rnacentral:rRNA from 1 species